rnacentral:rRNA from 1 species
UAGGGAAUAUUGGACAAUGGGUGAGAGCCUGAUCCAGCCAUGCCGCGUGCAGGAAGAAGGCCUUCUGGGUUGUAAACUGCUUUUGCCGGGGGAUAAAAGGCCCCUGCGGGGGACAUUGAAGGUACCCGGUGAAUAAGCCACGGCUAACUACGUGCCAGCAGCCGCGGUAAUACGUAGGUGGCAAGCGUUGUCCGGAUUUAUUGGGUUUAAAGGGUGCGUAGGCGGCCCCGUAAGUCAGUGGUGAAAUACGGCAGCUCAACUGUCGAGGUGCCAUUGAUACUGCGGGGCUUGAGUAUGGACGAGGUAAGCGGAAUUGACGGUGUAGCGGUGAAAUGCUUAGAUAUCGUCAAGAACACCUAUAGCGAAGGCAGCUUACUAGGCUGUAACUGACGCUGAGGCACGAAAGUGUGGGGAUCAAACAGGAUUAGAUACCCCAGUAGUCCCUGAGCGGGCUGGCAAGGCGCAU